rnacentral:rRNA from 1 species
UACGUAGGGUCCGAGCGUUGUCCGGAAUUACUGGGCGUAAAGAGCUCGUAGGUGGUUCGUCGCGUUGUUCGUGAAAACUCACAGCUUAACUGUGGGCGUGCGGGCGAUACGGGCAGACUGGAGUACUGCAGGGGAGACUGGAAUUCCUGGUGUAGCGGUGGAAUGCGCAGAUAUCAGGAGGAACACCGGUGGCGAAGGCGGGUCUCUGGGCAGUAACUGACGCUGAGGAGCGAAAGCGUGGGGAGCGAACAGG